rnacentral:rRNA from 1 species
GUCGGACGGCUACGCUCCGCGUUAGCCUCUUUAGGGAAAGUCCUUAAAUCCCUAAUUAUAAAAUAAGAAAGGGCUUUUAGGGGCAAUGCUCCUAAAGAUGCCAACGCGGAGCGUUGGUCAGUGGCGAACGGGUGAGUAACACGUGGGUAACCUGCCCUCGAGUGGGGAAUAAGCUCCCGAAAGGGGGUCUAAUACCGCAUAACGUUUCAUAACGAUGGUUAUGAAACCAAAGCCCAAAAGGCGCUCGAGGAGGGGCCUGCGUCCUAUCAGCUUGUUGGUAGGGUAAUGGCCUACCAAGGCUAUGACGGGUAGCCGGCCUGAGAGGGUGUCCGGCCACACUGGGACUGAGACACGGCCCAGACUCCUACGGGAGGCAGCAGUGGGGAAUUUUGCGCAAUGGGGGAAACCCUGACGCAGCGACGCCGCGUGGAGGAUGAAGGCCUUCGGGUUGUAAACUCCUGUCAGAGGGGACGAAAUCCCGCAAGGGACUGACGGUACCCUCAGAGGAAGCCCCGGCUAACUACGUGCCAGCAGCCGCGGUAAUACGUAGGGGGCAAGCGUUACUCGGAAUUACUGGGCGUAAAGGGUGAGUAGGCGGCUGGGCAAGUCAAGGAUGAAAGCCCGAGGCUCAACUUCGGAAUUGUCCUUGAAACUGCUCAGCUUGAGGGUAGUUGAGGAGAGCGGA